CACAAAGCAACAGAGAGCGUAUAGAAGCAGGCAUUAAAUGUCACGUAGAGUUUAACACAAUGCUAAUCAUGGUAGAUCAAGAUACACAGUGAUGAGAGAAGCUCUUCAGAUUUCCUGCAGCAAAUAAGGUGACUUCAAUAUUGGAGAAUUUCACUCAGUAAAACGAAAAUUCAGAAGUGAUUUUGCAACUAUCAACU